UACGAAGGGGGGCUAGCGUUAUUCGGAAUCACUGGGCUUAAAGGGCGCGUAGGCGGCCUUUCAAGUGACGGGUGAAAUCCCUCGGCUUAACCGAGGAACUGCCUGUCAGACUGCAUGGCUUGAGACCGGGAGAGGUGAGUGGAAUUCCCAGUGUAGCGGUGAAAUGCGUAGAUAUCAGGAGGAACACCUGCGGUGUAGACGGCUUACUGGACCAUAACUGACGCUGAGGCACGAAAAGCGUGGGUAGCAAACAGG
rnacentral:rRNA from 1 species